rnacentral:rRNA from 2 species
AAAUUGAAGAGUUUGAUCAUGGCUCAGAUUGAACGCUGGCGGCAGGCCUAACACAUGCAAGUCGAACGGUAACAGGAAACAGCUUGCUGUUUCGCUGACGAGUGGCGGACGGGUGAGUAAUGUCUGGGAAACUGCCUGAUGGAGGGGGAUAACUACUGGAAACGGUAGCUAAUACCGCAUAACGUCGCAAGACCAAAGAGGGGGACCUUCGGGCCUCUUGCCAUCGGAUGUGCCCAGAUGGGAUUAGCUAGUAGGUGGGGUAACGGCUCACCUAGGCGACGAUCCCUAGCUGGUCUGAGAGGAUGAC